GAUGAACGCUGGCGGCGUGCCUAAUACAUGCAAGUCGAGCGAACAGAUGAGGAGCUUGCUUCUCUGACGUUAGCGGCGGACGGGUGAGUAACACGUGGAUAACCUACCUAUAAGACUGGGAUAACUUCGGGAAACCGGAGCUAAUACCGGAUAAUAUAUUGAACCGCAUGGUUCAAUAGUGAAAGACGGUUUUGCUGUCACUUAUAGAUGGAUCCGCGCUGCAUUAGCUAGUUGGUAAGGUAACGGCUUACCAAGGCAACGAUGCGUAGCCGACCUGAGAGGGUGAUCGGCCACACUGGAACUGAGACACGGUCCAGACUCCUACGGGAGGCAGCAGUAGGGAAUCUUCCGCAAUGGGCGAAAGCCUGACGGAGCAACGCCGCGUGAGUGAUGAAGGUCUUCGGAUCGUAAAACUCUGUUAUUAGGGAAGAACAAAUGUGUAAGUAACUAUGCACGUCUUGACGGUACCUAAUCAGAAAGCCACGGCUAACUACGUG
rnacentral:rRNA from 1 species